rnacentral:tRNA from 1 species
GCCCUCGUGGUGAAACGGAUAUCACGUUUGGCUUCGGACCAAGAAUUAGGGGUUCGAAUCCCUUCGAGGGCA